AGUCGAACGGUAGCACAGAGAGCUUGCUCUCGGGUGACGAGGGGCGGACGGGUGAGUAAUGUCUGGGAAACUGCCUGAUGGAGGGGGAUAACUACUGGAAACGGUAGCUAAUACCGCAUAACGUCGCAGGACCAAAGUGGGGGACCUUCGGGCCUCAUGCCAUCAGAUGUGCCCAGAUGGGAUUAGCUUGUAGGUGAGGUAACGGCUCACCUAGGCGACGAUCCCUAGCUGGUCUGAGAGGAUGACCAGCCACACUGGAACUGAGACACGGUCCAGACUCCUACGGGAGGCAGCAGUGGGGAAUAUUGCACAAUGGGCGCAAGCCUGAUGCAGCCAUGCCGCGUGUAUGAAGAAGGCCUUCGGGUUGUAAAGUACUUUCAGCGAGGAGGAAGGCGAUAAGGUUAAUAACCUUGUCGAUUGACGUUACUCGCAGAAGAAGCACCGGCUAACUCCGUGCCAGCAGCCGCGGUAAUACGGAGGGUGCAAGCGUUAAUCGGAAUUACUGGGCGUAAAGCGCACGCAGGCGGUCUGUCAAGUCGGAUGUGAAAUCCCCGGGCUCAACCUGGGAACUGCAUCCGAAACUGGCAGGCUAGAGUCUUGUAGAGGGGGGUAGAAUUCCAGGUGUAGCGGUGAAAUGCGUAGAGAUCUGGAGGAAUACC
rnacentral:rRNA from 1 species